ACCCUCGUGGAGUAGCCAGGCCCAUCUCGGCCCCCUUUCAAGGGGCAGACCGCGGGUUCAAAUCCCGCCGAGGGUA
rnacentral:tRNA from 1 species